GACGAACGCUGGCGGCGUGCCUAAUACAUGCAAGUUGAGCGCUGAAGGUUGGUACUUGUACCAACUGGAUGAGCAGCGAACGGGUGAGUAACGCGUGGGGAAUCUGCCUUUGGGCGGGGGACAACAUUUGGAAACGAAUGCUAAUACCGCAUAAAAACUUUAAACACAAGUUUUAAGUUUGAAAGAUGCAAUUGCAUCACUCAAAGAUGAUCCCGCGUUGUAUUAGCUAGUUGGUGAGGUAAAGGCUCACCAAGGCGAUGAUACAUAGCCGACCUGAGAGGGUGAUCGGCCACAUUGGGACUGAGACACGGCCCAAACUCCUACGGGAGGCAGCAGUAGGGAAUCUUCGGCAAUGGACGAAAGUCUGACCGAGCAACGCCGCGUGAGUGAAGAAGGUUUUCGGAUCGUAAAACUCUGUUGGUAGAGAAGAACGUUGGUGAGAGUGGAAAGCUCAUCAAGUGACGGUAACUACACAGAAAGGGACGGCUAACUACGUG
rnacentral:rRNA from 1 species